rnacentral:rRNA from 1 species
AAGGUUAAGCCUCACGGUUCAUUAGUACCGGUUAGCUCAACGCAUCGCUGCGCUUACACACCCGGCCUAUCAACGUCGUCGUCUUCAACGUUCCUUCAGGACCCUUAAAGGGUCAGGGAGAACUCAUCUCGGGGCAAGUUUCGUGCUUAGAUGCUUUCAGCACUUAUCUCUUCCGCAUUUAGCUACCGGGCAGUGCCAUUGGCAUGACAACCCGAACACCAGUGAUGCGUCCACUCCGGUCCUCUCGUACUAGGAGCAGCCCCCCUCAGUUCUCCAGCGCCCACGGCAGAUAGGGACCGAACUGUCUCACGACGUUCUAAACCCAGCUCGCGUACCACUUUAAAUGGCGAACAGCCAUACCCUUGGGACCUACUUCAGCCCCAGGAUGUGAUGAGCCGACAUCGAGGUGCCAAACACCGCCGUCGAUAUGAACUCUUGGGCGGUAUCAGCCUGUUAUCCCCGGAGUACCUUUUAUCCGUUGAGCGAUGGCCCUUCCAUUCAGAACCACCGGAUCACUAUGACCUGCUUUCGCACCUGCUCGCGCCGUCACGCUCGCAGUCAAGCUGGCUUAUGCCAUUGCACUAACCUCCUGAUGUCCGACCAGGAUUAGCCAACCUUCGUGCUCCUCCGUUACUCUUUAGGAGGAGACCGCCCCAGUCAAACUACCCACCAGACACUGUCCGCAACCCGGAUCACGGGUCCACGUUAGAACAUCAAACAUUAAAGGGUGGUAUUUCAAGGUCGGCUCCAUGCAGACUGGCGUCCACACUUCAAAGCCUCCCACCUAUCCUACACAUCAAGGCUCAAUGUUCAGUGUCAAGCUAUAGUAAAGGUUCACGGGGUCUUUCCGUCUUGCCGCGGGUACACUGCAUCUUCACAGCGAGUUCAAUUUCACUGAGUCUCGGGUGGAGACAGCCUGGCCAUCAUUACGCCAUUCGUGCAGGUCGGAACUUACCCGACAAGGAAUUUCGCUACCUUAGGACCGUUAUAGUUACGGCCGCCGUUUACCGGGGCUUCGAUCAAGAGCUUCGCUUGCGCUGACCCCAUCAAUUAACCUUCCGGCACCGGGCAGGCGUCACACCGUAUACGUCCACUUUCGUGUUUGCACAGUGCUGUGUUUUUAAUAAACAGUUGCAGCCAGCUGGUAUCUUCGACUGAUUUCAGCUCCACGAGCAAGUCGCUUCACCUACAUAUCAGCGUGCCUUCUCCCGAAGUUACGGCACCAUUUUGCCUAGUUCCUUCACCCGAGUUCUCUCAAGCGCCUUGGUAUUCUCUACCUGACCACCUGUGUCGGUUUGGGGUACGAUUUGAUGUUACCUGAUGCUUAGAGGCUUUUCCUGGAAGCAGGGCAUUUGUUGCUUCAGCACCGUAGUGCCUCGUCAUCACGCCUCAGCCUUGAUUUUCCGGAUUUGCCUGGAAAACCAGCCUACCCGCUUAAACCGGGACAACCGUCGCCCGGCCAACAUAGCCUUCUCCGUCCCCCCUUCGCAGUAACACCAAGUACAGGAAUAUUAACCUGUUUCCCAUCGACUACGCCUUUCGGCCUCGCCUUAGGGGUCGACUCACCCUGCCCCGAUUAACGUUGGACAGGAACCCUUGGUCUUCCGGCGAGCGGGCUUUUCACCCGCUUUAUCGUUACUUAUGUCAGCAUUCGCACUUCUGAUACCUCCAGCAUGCCUCACAGCACACCUUCGCAGGCUUACAGAACGCUCCCCUACCCGACAACGCAUCAGCGUCGCUGCCGCAGCUUCGGUGCAUGGUUUAGCCCCGUUACAUCUUCCGCGCAGGCCGACUCGACCAGUGAGCUAUUACGCUUUCUUUAAAUGAUGGCUGCUUCUAAGCCAACAUCCUGGCUGUCUGGGCCUUCCCACAUCGUUUCCCACUUAACCAUGACUUUGGGACCUUAGCUGGCGGUCUGGGUUGUUUCCCUCUUCACGACGGACGUUAGCACCCGCCGUGUGUCUCCCGUGAUAACAUUCUCCGGUAUUCGCAGUUUGCAUCGGGUUGGUAAGUCGGGAUGACCCCCUUGCCGAAACAGUGCUCUACCCCCGGAGAUGAAUUCACGAGGCGCUACCUAAAUAGCUUUCGGGGAGAACCAGCUAUCUCCCGGUUUGAUUGGCCUUUCACCCCCCAGCCACAAGUCAUCCGCUAAUUUUUCAACAUUAGUCGGUUCGGUCCUCCAGUUAGUGUUACCCAACCUUCAACCUGCCCAUGGCUAGAUCACCGGGUUUCGGGUCUAUACCCUGCAACUUAACGCCCAGUUAAGACUCGGUUUCCCUUCGGCUCCCCUAUUCGGUUAACCUUGCUACAGAAUAUAAGUCGCUGACCCAUUAUACAAAAGGUACGCAGUCACACGCCUAAGCGUGCUCCCACUGCUUGUACGUACACGGUUUCAGGUUCUUUUACACUCCCCUCGCCGGGGUUCUUUUCGCCUUCCCUCACGGUACUGGUUCACUAUCGGUCAGUCAGGAGUAUUUAGCCUUGGAGGAUGGUCCCCCCAUAUUCAGACAGGAUACCACGUGUCCCGCCCUACUCAUCGAGCUCACAGCAUGUGCAUUUUUGUGUACGGGGCUGUCACCCUGUAUCGCGCGCCUUUCCAGACGCUUCCACUAACACACACACUGAUUCAGGCUCUGGGCUGCUCCCCGUUCGCUCGCCGCUACUGGGGGAAUCUCGGUUGAUUUCUUUUCCUCGGGGUACUUAGAUGUUUCAGUUCCCCCGGUUCGCCUCAUUAACCUAUGGAUUCAGUUAAUGAUAGUGUGUCGAAACACACUGGGUUUCCCCAUUCGGAAAUCGCCGGUUAUAACGGUUCAUAUCACCUUACCGACGCUUAUCGCAGAUUAGCACGUCCUUCAUCGCCUCUGACUGCCAGGGCAUCCACCGUGUACGCUUAGUCGCUUAA